rnacentral:rRNA from 1 species
CCUACGGGUGGCAGCAGUGAGGAAUAUUGGUCAAUGGGCGGAAGCCUGAACCAGCCAAGUCGCGUGAGGGAGUAAGGCCCUACGGGUCGUAAACCUCUUUUGCCGGGGAGCAGUGCCCAGCUCGUGAGCUGGGAGGGAGCGUACCCGGAGAAAAAGCAUCGGCUAACUCCGUGCCAGCAGCCGCGGUAAUACGGGGGGUGCAAGCGUUGUCCGGAAUCAUUGGGCGUAAAGAGUUCGUAGGCGGCACGUAAAGUCUGGUGUUAAAGGCAGAGGCUCAACUUCUGUACGGCACUGGAUACUUGCGAGCUAGAAUGCGGUAGAGGUAAAGGGAAUUCCUGGUGUAGCGGUGAAAUGCUGAGAUAUCAGGAGGAACAUCGGUGGCGUAAGCGCUUUACUGGGCCGUAAUUGACGCUGAGGAACGAAAGCCAGGGUAGCAAAUGGGAUUAGAUACCCGUGUAGUC